rnacentral:rRNA from 1 species
CCUGCAGAAGAAGCGCCGGCUAACUACGUGCCAGCAGCCGCGGUAAUACGUAGGGCGCAAGCGUUAUUCCGGGAAUUAUUGGGCGUAAAGAGCUCGUAGGCGGUUUGUCGYGUYUGCCGUGAAAGUCCGGGGCUCAACUCCGGAUCUGCGGUGGGUACGGGCAGACUAGAGUGAUGUAGGGGAGACUGGAAUUCCUGGUGUAGCGGUGAAAUGCGCAGAUAUCAGGAGGAACACCGAUGGCGAAGGCAGGUCUCUGGGCAUUAACUGACGCUGAGGAGCGAAAGCAUGGGGAGCGAACAGGAUUAGAUACCCUGGUAGUCCAUGCCGUAAACGUUGGGCACUAGGUGUGGGGGACAUUCCACGUUUUCCGCGCCGUAGCUAACGCAUUAAGUGCCCCGCCUGGGGAGUACGGCCGCAAGGCUAAAACUCAAAGGAAUUGACGGGGGCCCGCACAAGCGGCGGAGCAUGCGGAUUAAUUCGAUGCAACGCGAAGAACCUUACCAAGGCUUGACAUGAACCGGAAAUACCUGGAAACAGGUGCCCCGCUUGCGGUCGGUUUACAGGUGGUGCAUGGUUGUCGUCAGCUCGUGUCGUGAGAUGUUGGGUUAAGUCCCGCAACGAGCGCAACCCUCGUUCUAUGUUGCCAGCGCGUUAUGGCGGGGACUCAUAGGAGACUGCCGGGGUCAACUCGGAGGAAGGUGGGGACGACGUCAAAUCAUCAUGCCCCUUAUGUCUUGGGCUUCACGCAUGCUACAAUGGCCGGUACAAAGGGUUGCGAUACUGUGAGGUGGAGCUAAUCCCAAAAAGCCGGUCUCAGUUCGGAUUGGGGUCUGCAACUCGACCCCAUGAAGUCGGAGUCGCUAGUAAUCGCAGAUCAGCAACGCUGCGGUGAAUACGUUCCCGGUCCUUGUACACACCGCCCGUCAAGUCACGAAAGUUGGUAACACCCGAAGCCGGUGGCCUAACCCCUUGUGGGAGGGAGCUGUCGAAGGUGGGACUGGCGAUUGGGACUAAGUCGUAACAAAGUUAACCCGUAACG